rnacentral:rRNA from 1 species
AUACGGAGGGUGCAAGCGUUAAUCGGAAUUACUGGGCGUAAAGCGCGCGUAGGCGGUUUGGUCAGUCAGAUGAGAAAGCCCCGGGCUCAACCUGGGAACUGCAUUUGAUACUGCUGAACUAGAGUAUGGUAGAGGGAAGUGGAAUUCCGGGUGUAGCGGUGAAAUGCGUAGAUAUCCGGAGGAACACCAGUGGCGAAGGCGACUUCCUGGACCAAUACUGACGCUGAGGUGCGAAAGCGUGGGUAGCAAACAGGAUUAGAAACCCUAGUAGUCC